rnacentral:rRNA from 1 species
UCGAGAAUCUUCCGCAAUGGGCGAAAGCCUGACGGAGCGACGCCGCGUGCGGGAUGAAGGCCUUCGGGUUGUAAACCGCUGUCAGAGGGGAGCAAAUUUUGAGCGAUCCUCAGAGGAAGCGCAGGCUAAGUUCGUGCCAGCAGCCGCGGUAACACGAACUGCGCGAACGUUAUUCGGAAUCACUGGGCUUAAAGGGUGCGUAGGCGGCGAUGUAGGUGGGGUGUGAAAUCCCUCGGCUCAACCGAGGAACUGCGCUCCAAACCACAUUGCUUGAGGGAGUCAGAGGUAAGCGGAACUGAUGGUGGAGCGGUGAAAUGCGUUGAUAUUAUCAGGAACACCGGUGGCGAAAGCGGCUUACUGGGACUUUUCUGACGCUGAGGCACGAAAGCUAGGGGAGCGAACGGGAUUAGAUACCCCCGUAGUCC